GGGGUGAUUGGCGGACAUGUGCACGCCCAGCUCCUGCUUGAGCCGGAGCAGGUUCCAGUCCCGAUCAUCCCGC
rnacentral:tRNA from 1 species